AGUGAACGCUGGCGGUAGGCUUAACACAUGCAAGUCGAACGGCAGCACAGGAGAGCUUGCUCUCUGGGUGGCGAGUGGCGGACGGGUGAGGAAUACAUCGGAAUCUACCUUUUCGUGGGGGAUAACGUAGGGAAACUUACGCUAAUACCGCAUACGACCUACGGGUGAAAGUGGGGGACCGCAAGGCCUCACGCGCUUAUAUGAGCCGAUGUCCGAUUAGCUAGUUGGCGGGGUAAUGGCCCACCAAGGCGACGAUCGGUAGCUGGUCUGAGAGGAUGAUCAGCCACACUGGAACUGAGACACGGUCCAGACUCCUACGGGAGGCAGCAGUGGGGAAUAUUGGACAAUGGGCGCAAGCCUGAUCCAGCCAUACCGCGUGGGUGAAGAAGGCCUUCGGGUUGUAAAGCCCUUUUGUUGGGAAAGAAAUCCUGUCGAUUAGUACUCGGUGAGGAUGACGGUACCCAAAGAAUAAGCACCGGCUAACUUCGUGCCAGCCGCCGCAGUAA
rnacentral:rRNA from 1 species